rnacentral:rRNA from 1 species
GGAGGCGGCAGUAGGGAAUCUUCCGCAAUGGGCGAAAGCCUGACGGAGCAACGCCGCGUGAGUGAUGAAGGUCUUCGGAUCGUAAAACUCUGUUAUUAGGGAAGAACAAAUGUGUAAGUAACUAUGCACGUCUUGACGGUACCUAAUCAGAAAGCCACGGCUAACUACGUGCCAGCAGCCGCGGUAAUACGUAGGUGGCAAGCGUUAUCCGGAAUUAUUGGGCGUAAAGCGCGCGUAGGCGGUUUUUUCAGUCUGAUGUGAAAGCCCACGGCUCAACCGUGGAGGGUCAUUGGAAACUGGAAAACUUGAGUGCAGAAGAGGAAAGUGGAAUUCCAUGUGUAGCGGUGAAAUGCGCAGAGAUAUGGAGGAACACCAGUGGCGAAGGCGACUUUCUGGUCUGUAACUGACGCUGAUGUGCGAAAGC